rnacentral:rRNA from 1 species
UACGUAGGGGGCAAGCGUUGUCCGGAAUCAUUGGGCGUAAAGCGCGUGUAGGCGGUUCGGUAAGUCUGCUGUGAAAGUCCAGGGCUCAACCCUGGGAUGCCGGUGGAUACUGUCGGGCUGGAGUGCGGAAGAGGCGAGUGGAAUUCCCGGUGUAGCGGUGAAAUGCGCAGAUAUCGGGAGGAACACCAAUUGCGAAGGCAGCUCGCUGGGACGUAACUGACGCUGAGACGCGAAAGCGUGGGGAGCAAACAGG